rnacentral:ncRNA from 1 species
ACCGGAGUGGACGGACCGCCGGUGUACCAGUUGUUUCGCCAGAAGCACAGCUGGGUAGCUGCGUCCGGAAGGGAUAAACGCUGAAAGCAUCUAAGCGUGAAGCCCGUCCCGAGAUGAAGUAUCUCAUAGCACAAGCUAGUAAGACACCUUGAAGAAGACAAGGUUGAUAGGGUAGAUGUGGGAGUGCCGCAAGGCAUGAAGCUGACUACUACUAAUAUGUCGAGGGCUUAACUAG